rnacentral:pre_miRNA from 1 species
UGACCUGAGUCAGGUAGGCAGUGUGUAGUUAGCUGGCUGCUUUGAGCCAGUUCGGCAGCCGCAACUACCCUGCCACUUGCUUCUGGAUAC